rnacentral:rRNA from 1 species
CGGCAAAAGCUCAAAUUUGAAAUCGGCCACCAGGUCGAGUUGUAAUUUGUAGAUUGUAUCUUGAGAGCGGAUUAAAGUCUGUUGGAACACAGCGCCUUAGAGGGUGACAGCCCCGUAAAAUCUAUUCUCAUUGUAAGAUACUUUCGAA